GCUUGUUCCCGUUGUUCUUAGAGUUGUAAUCUUGAUAUUUAGAGUCUUGUUGAUUAUUCCCACUCGACUUAGACGUGCUUUCGCUCAUUUCUCUUGCUUCGAUUUCAAGUUUUAUCGUAGUAAGUAAUUCAUCGAUCUUCCAAGCUUCUUUGGUAGCCUUUCGUGCGAUCUGCAGGCGAAUAUCGCUUGGCAACUUUGACAUUAUAAUCGGUAUCAAUAGGCUGCCAUAUUGUUCCGAGGAAACGCCCAAUGAAGCUAGACCACGUACAUGCACGCUAAUUUUGUCAUAGACGUAUCUUAAGGAAGAUAGUUUCUCUCCUGUGCAAGCUUGUACUUUAAGUAUUUCAUCCAUAUGGGCCGCAAUGACCUGUUGUGGUCUUCCAAAACGGUCCUGGAGAAUUUCUACAGCGGCGUCAUAAUUCGCGUUCGUAAGAUUAAGCCUUUGAAUAGCGCGUAGUGCAGUUCCCUCGAGUAAAGAACUCAAAUAAUUAAACUUAUCGACCUUCGUAAUAGCAUCAUUUUUAUAUAUCGUAGAUUCGUACGAGUCCCAAAACGUAUUCCAUUUUGUUACGUCACCUUUAAGUUUCGGCAAGGUCAGCUUCGGUAAUUUCGGUUUAACAUUCGUUGUUGUACUUGUUGUCGCUGUCGGUUGAGACGUGUUCGUGUUUACUUCGCUUUGACUCGCACUAUUUGAUUGUUCGCCACUGUCAAUAAUCGUGCUGUUCGUUGAAUUAUCAUUCCCAUAGUCUAGUUCUUGAUUCGGUGAUAAAUGACUCGGUUGGACGUUAUUCUUUUCGUUGAUCACUUUCGAAAUUCCAGGCUUUAAUGCAUUUUCGAGUUUCCUUUUAGUGGUUAAUAUUCUAGAGACAACUUCCGCCGAUUCUUCGAUUUCUUGUUCGAUAUCUUUUACAUCGCAUAAUCCUAAAAUCUCUUCGUCAAUUUCGCUUAGAAUUUUUAAUUUCUCUUCGAGUAAAGAUCGGAUAAUUUCGCAUCGAUCGCAUCAACAUCGCCGGGUAAAUGUAGGAGGUCGUCCGCUUCUUUCGCUAAUUUAGUACAGACACCACGAUGUUCGCCUCGCUUCGCUCUCAAUCGGUCUAAAUUCUCUUUCGAUUCGGUCAUAAUUUCGCUUGGAUUCAACUUGUUAUGUUUUCAAGUUGCCCCACGUUGGGCGCCAUGUAAUAAAUAUCGUAAAUCGCUUAUAAAUCGCUCGUAAUUCGCUCGUAAAUCGCUAUGAACUCCUUAAACAACAGUGAAACAAUAUAUUAUACUCGAAACAAUACAAAAUUACAAUAACAAAGCAAUUACGUACAUGAUUGACAGUUAAUACAACCUAUUUAUAGCUAAUUAUAGCAUAAUGUCUCUGUCUGCUAAUGUAAACGAUAUAUUAAAAUGUUAAUAAUUACUCUGUUCAUAACACAGUGCAAAUUCCAUAUUUCACAAAUUUAUAGUGGGUUAACGUUGAGAUUUUAGAUUAGAUGAAAAUAGGUAACUGUCAAGCUCCAUUUCCUGUAAUACGCUAACCACUACUCAAACUAGUGUUGGUAAAUAAACAGUAAAAUUUAAGAAUCAUUGUUAAAGCCAUUUGAGCAUGUCAGUUGGUAUAGAAACAUCAUGUCUUUACAUGGUAGUUUAAUGGUACUGCAAAUGCUGAGCUAUAAAAGCACAAAUUGUACGCACACAUACACUGAAGAAAUCAGUACUUAAUACUGUAUCUUGUUACUGACGUAAGCAUUUUUGUAUGCUGGCCCACGUUACCCGGUCAAACGCUUCCAAAAAUAUCAAGAUUAAUUGUUAGUUAAAGUGUCCAUGAUCAUAUCCUCACGAAAUCUUCGCAUGAUUUGGUUUCGCCUUGUGCUGCAUGUAUGCAAUUAAACUAACUCAUUUCUAUUACCAUGAUAUCUUUAAGAAACAGUAUAAAUGAAAUAUUCGUAGAUUACAACUGAAAAUGACGAUGUAUAACCAGGGCGCUAUAAAACACGGGCGGUGAAACGGAGAUAGCGCCCCUGAUCUUUGUGUGAUGCGCGUACCCCCCGUAUACAUUAAUUUAUAAUGUCAAUAAAAAUGGAAUUGGAAUGUUUAUGCAAAAAAGAGCUGAAAAAACUAAAGUAAAAAAUGUUUUCUGCAUAUUCCUAAACAACUUGAUGGUUUGAAGACAUUGUUGGAUUCAUUUUCUGUAUAUCUAAUGAAGGAAAAAGGGUUUUAAAGAUUCAUCAUGAGCGAAAUAAAAAUUUGAAAAGGAAUCGAGCUGAUCGAAUGUGGGCAUAUUCCAAAUACGAAAAUUUUGGUAUGAAAUGGGAUAUUUUACUUCAUAAUGCGAAGGUAGGAUAAACAUUUUCACAGUAAGAAUAUUCCGACAUUGCUUGGCUACUAUUUUUCGAUAAUCGUAUAGCCCAAAAUUGACCAUGCAUGCAUUUAAAACAACUACAAUUUGAUAAAAACAACUACAAUUUGCUCGACAAUUUGAAAACUUAAAUAUAUAACCGUUUUUGUGUUAACCAGCCGGCAUGCUCGGAACCAUUGAAAGUUCAUUGUAAAAUGUUUUUUACUAAUUGAUUUGAUUUCUAUUAUUGGUAUAACUGCCGCCGACACUCCAAAA